UAGGGAAUCUUCCGCAAUGGACGCAAGUCUGACGGAGCAACGCCGCGUGAGUGAAGAAGGAUUUCGGUUCGUAAAACUCUGUUGUUAGAGAAGAACAGCGCAUAGAGUAACUGUUAUGCGUGUGACGGUAUCUAACCAGAAAGCCACGGCUAACUACGUGCCAGCAGCCGCGGUAAUACGUAGGUGGCAAGCGUUGUCCGGAUUUAUUGGGCGUAAAGCGAGCGCAGGCGGUCAAUUAAGUCUGAUGUGAAAGCCCCCGGCUCAACCGGGGAGGGUCAUUGGAAACUGGUUGACUUGAGUGCAGAAGAGGAGAGUGGAAUUCCAUGUGUAGCGGUGAAAUGCGUAGAUAUAUGGAGGAACGCCGGUGGCGAAAGCGGCUCUAUGGUCUGUAACUGACGCUGAGGCUCGAAAGCGUGGGGAGCGAACAGG
rnacentral:rRNA from 1 species